GGCAGACUUGGGAGAGCAUCUGAUGGUUCCAAGGGAAAUAUUUGUUGGGGAAAGAAAGGGGCACACAGGCCGGGUGACUUUCAGUCACAUGUGACCACAUGACGCCCACACAAACGGGUCUCUUGAGGCCAGAGCAGACAGGUUACCCCUGUUACCUCCAUCCUGGGUACAGCACCCCGUGGGGGUGGGAUCAAGCUGGGAGUGGGUGGGCAGAGCCCUCUCAGGUCAGCAGCCUCUUGGAUGAGGCCACAGAGCUGUAGUCUGUUAACAAGGCCAGAAGAUGCCUAUUUAUUCAUCCUACUUACUGACCCCGAAGCACUACCACUGACACCAUUACCACCAUGGACGGAGGUUUCAGCCUGCUCAGAUGACCAGAGCACUGGGGUGGCAGUCGGGAACACUUUUUACACUGAAACUGAUUUCUGGAGUAAGCAGUACAUACUCAUGCAAAAUUGUAAAGAUGCAAAAAGGAUGCAGAGAAAAAGCCCCACAGUCAAGAUCCCUUGACAUAUUCUUAGGAUCUUUAAAGGCAUCUGGACGUUACUCUAGUACCAGAAACUUGGUGAAGAAAAGAGGACGCCAGGCAAGGGUUGGGAGCCUGGAUAAGAGUUUGGGCUUUGGAAUCAAACAGACAAGAGCACAAACCACAGCUCCACAACAUGUGACCUUGGACAAGCACCUUUACCUCUUCUCUACAUGUUGGUUUCCCUCCUUGUAAUAUGGGAUGGAGACUAGUAACUGCCUCCUCUGCUGGUAAAUAAGAUACAAUCCAAAGGCACAGAGCACCUGGCCCAGAGAGAUUGCUUCGUAUCUGCUAUCCAGCAUGGCCAUCUGAUGGGGCCUGGACCUGGCUAAUUGUGGGCCCUGCUCCUCCCUCUGCCUGAGCCCCCAGCAGCUUCUCUGACCCAGCUGGAGGAAGAAGCUCUGAUGGGCAUCUCCUGUCCGUGCACAUCAAGUUAUUUCUAGUUGAUUUGUUAUUGUGGUUGUUGUGGUUGUUAUUUCUACUAAGAACAUUGAGCUAUGAAUAAACUGUGCAUUUUUCUUGAUGAAUGUGGAAAAGAGAUUCUCUAGGGUGUACAUAAUAAUAAUUAUAAUAAUAAACAACUGGAAAAAUAAGGGCAUUGAGUGCUCAGGAUGAAUGCCAUGGAGCUGGAACCUGGUCCUGGAGGUGUUCUGAGA
ensembl:lncRNA